rnacentral:tRNA from 1 species
AGUAAAAUGGCUGAAUUAAGCGAUAAAUUGUAAAUUUAUUAAUGAUUUUAAAUCUUUUACUA